rnacentral:tRNA from 1 species
GGUGUAGCUCAGCUUGGCUAGAGCGCCUGCUUUGGGAGCAGGAGGCCGUAGGUUCGAAUCCUAUCACC